GGCUCAGGAUGAACGCUAGCUACAGGCUUAACACAUGCAAGUCGAGGGGAAACGACAUUGGAAGCUUGCUUCCGAUGGGCGUCGACCGGCGCACGGGUGAGUAACGCGUAUCCAACCUGCCCACCACUUGGAGAUAACCUUGCGAAAGUAAGACUAAUACCCAAUGACGUCUCUAGAAGACAUCUGAAAGAGAUUAAAGAUUUAUCGGUGAUGGAUGGGGAUGCGUCUGAUUAGCUUGUUGGCGGGGUAACGGCCCACCAAGGCGACGAUCAGUAGGGGUUCUGAGAGGAAGGUCCCCCACAUUGGAACUGAGACACGGUCCAAACUCCUACGGGAGGCAGCAGUGAGGAAUAUUGGUCAAUGGGCGAGAGCCUGAACCAGCCAAGUAGCGUGCAGGAUGACGGCCCUAUGGGUUGUAAACUGCUUUUAUAAGGGAAUAAAGUGAGCCUCGUGAGGCUUUUUGCAUGUACCUUAUGAAUAAGGACCGGCUAAUUCCGUG
rnacentral:rRNA from 1 species